GGGGAAUAUUGGACAAUGGGGGCAACCCUGAUCCAGCAAUGCCGCGUGUGUGAAGAAGGCCUUCGGGUUGUAAAGCACUUUUAUCGGGAACGAAACAUUGUCGGCCAAUACCCGGCAAGACUGACGGUACCCGAGGAAUAAGCACCGGCUAACUCCGUGCCAGCAGCCGCGGUAAUACGGAGGGUGCAAGCGUUAAUCGGAAUUACUGGGCGUAAAGCGUGCGCAGGCGGUUUGUUAAGUCUGCUGUGAAAUCCCCGAGCUCAGCUUGGGAAUUGCAGUCGAUACUGGCAAGCUGGAGUACGGGAGAGGAAGGUGGAAUUCCCGGUGUAGCAGUGAAAUGCGUAGAGAUCGGGAGGAACACCAGUGGCGAAGGCGGCCUUCUGGACCAGUACUGACGCUCAUGCACGAAAGCGUGGGGAGCAAACA
rnacentral:rRNA from 1 species